GGUCCCGUGCAGACAUGUUAGGGGAUUGCAAUUCUACUCUCUUUGCGGACUUUGAAACUGUUCUUAAGGAUGACACAGAAAUGAUGGAGGUUGAUGAUCAAUCCAUCCUAACUGAAGCCUGAAACAUGAUUGUAUGAUGUUGCUGCUGCUGCUUGGUUGCGACGAGAAGGCGGACGACCCGGCGUGCUACAUUGCUACCUGUUGUUAUUUACAUUUAUCCAUGGCUGCUAC